GCGGACGGGUGAGUAAUGCCUAGGAAAUUGCCUUGAUGUGGGGGAUAACCAUUGGAAACGAUGGCUAAUACCGCAUAAUGCCUACGGGCCAAAGAGGGGGACCUUCGGGCCUCUCGCGUCAAGAUAUGCCUAGGUGGGAUUAGCUAGUUGGUGAGGUAAUGGCUCACCAAGGCGACGAUCCCUAGCUGGUCUGAGAGGAUGAUCAGCCACACUGGAACUGAGACACGGUCCAGACUCCUACGGGAGGCAGCAGUGGGGAAUAUUGCACAAUGGGCGAAAGCCUGAUGCAGCCAUGCCGCGUGUAUGAAGAAGGCCUUCGGGUUGUAAAGUACUUUCAGUUGUGAGGAAGGGNGUGNAGUUAAUAGCUGCAUCUCUUGACGUUAGCAACAGAAGAAGCACCGGCUAACUCCGUGCCAGCAGCCGCGGUAAUACGGAGGGUGCGAGCGUUAAUCGGAAUUACUGGGCGUAAAGCGCAUGCAGGUGGUUCAUUAAGUCAGAUGUGAAAGCCCGGGGCUCAACCUCGGAACUGCAUUUGAAACUGGUGAACUAGAGUACUGUAGAGGGGGGUAGAAUUUCAGGUGUAGCGGUGAAAUGCGUAGAGAUCUGAAGGAAUACCAGUGGCGAAGGCGGCCCCCUNNNCAGAUACUGACACUCANAUGCGAAAGCGUGGGGAGCAAACAGGAUUAGAUACCCUGNUAGNCCACGCCGUAAACGAUG
rnacentral:rRNA from 1 species